UACGAAGGGGGGCUAGCGUUGCUCGGAAUCACUGGGCGUAAAGCGCACGUAGGCGGCUUUUUAAGUCAGGGGUGAAAUCCUGGAGCUCAACUCCAGAACUGCCUUUGAUACUGAGAAGCUUGAGUCCGGGAGAGGUGAGUGGAACUGCGAGUGUAGAGGUGAAAUUCGUAGAUAUUCGCAAGAACACCAGUGGCGAAGACGGCUCACUGGCCCGGUACUGACGCUGAGGUGCGAAAGCGUGGGGAGCAAACAGG
rnacentral:rRNA from 1 species